rnacentral:tRNA from 1 species
GCCGGGGUGGCUGAGCGGUUAAGGCGCUAGCCUGGAAAGCUAGUCCCCUUCUGGGGUCAGGGGUUCAAAUCCCCUCUCCGGCG